rnacentral:rRNA from 1 species
UCCAGAGCCAUAUCUCCCUGCAGUUCUCUGCUGGUUUCCCACUGAAGCUAGCAGGGUUGAGCCUGGCCAGUACCUGGAUAGGAUACAUCCUGGGCAAAACUAAGGUUGCUGCUGGAA